rnacentral:rRNA from 1 species
AUCUAGGGCCAUACCACUCUGAACAUGCUGGAUCUCAUCUAAUCUUGGAGGCUAAGCAAGGUUGGGCCUGGUUAGUACUUGGAUGGGAAGAAUUUGAGGAUGAAAUA